rnacentral:rRNA from 1 species
CUCGUAGGCGGUCCGUCACGUCGGCUGUGAAAACCCGGGGCUCAACUCCGGGCCUGCAGUCGAUACGGGCGGACUAGAGUAUUGCAGGGGAGACUGGAAUUCCUGGUGUAGCGGUGAAAUGCGCAGAUAUCAGGAGGAACACCGGUGGCGAAGGCGGGUCUCUGGGCAAUAACUGACGCUGAGGAGCGAAAGCGUGGGGAAGCAAACA